AUUGGACGCUGGCGGCAUGCUUUACACAUGCAAGUCGAACGGUAACAGGGAGCUUGCUCCGCUGACGAGUGGCGAACGGGUGAGUAAUGCGUCGGAACGUGCCGAGUAGUGGGGGAUAACGCAUCGAAAGGUGUGCUAAUACCGCAUACGUACUGAGGUAGAAAGUGGGGGACCUUCGGGCCUCACGCUAUUCGAGCGGCCGACGUCUGAUUAGCUAGUUGGUGAGGUAAAGGCUCACCUAGGCGACGAUCAGUAGCGGGUCUGAGAGGAUGAUCCGCCACACUGGGAAUGAGACACGGCCCAGACUCCUACGGGAGGCAGCAGUGGGGAAUUUUGGACAAUGGGCGAAAGCCUGAUCCAGCCAUGCCGCGUGUCUGAAGAAGGCCUUCGGGUUGUAAAGGACUUUUGUCAGGGAGGAAAUCCCUAGUGCUAAUAACACUGGGGGAUGACAGUACCUGAAGAAUAAGCACCGGCUAACUACGUGCCAGCCGCCGCGGUAAGAC
rnacentral:rRNA from 1 species